ensembl:lncRNA
CCAUUCCCAUUUGCUUUCACACCUUCAUUCUGUCCUUUUACACAGAAGCCAGGAGCUGGAAUUUCAAAAAGAAGAAAAGUGAUAUGCGGCUGAUUUUGUACAUCAAAAACAUAAGGAAGAAGCCAUGCAUUCUCAAGUUGGCUUCACCCUGCCAGCAGCUUUUACACAUCACUGAAGCAGCUUCCAGUUUACUCGGUUGGCAAAGUGGAAAGAAAAAAGGAAUCAAAGAAGCACAAAUAAAUAUUAAAGCGUGUAAGAAUUAAGCAUUACCUACUUAAAUGGCAAUUAUGUUGCUGAAAACAAGAACAUCACACCUGUACAAGAAAAGACAUAUAAACUCCAAACAUCUGUUUGGAUCCACCUGCCAGGCACCUGUUUUGCUGUUUCAAUGCCAUUUGAUUGCUGGAGAUGUAGAGGCUCUUGUGAGAUUUGAGAUAUACAUCAAUAAAUGUGGCAUGACAGAAAAGAGUAAGAAUCACCUGGGAGUGAAAGAAAGAAAGAAAGAAAGAAAGAAAGAAAGAAAGAAAGAAAGAAAGAAAGAAAGAAAGAAAGAAAGAAAGAAAGAAAGAAAGAAAGAAAGAAAAGGCUAAUUUGAAAUUGAAGAUUUGCUAGCUUCUCUGGUUAUGGAUGAGACAAUAGUGACUAAUGCAAAGAUCUCUCUGUUGUUUUUUUAAUCAUUGCACAAAUAUUCAUCCUUUUAGAUCACAGCCACAAUUUAGAGAUCCCACACCCCCCCCAAAAAAGAAGAAGUUGUUUAGUUACUUUUAAUAACUCUUUGGGGAGUGAAAAUGUGGACAGUGGGGCAUAUUAGCUUUUGUGAAUCCCAUGGGAAUGCUUGUGCGUUUAAAUCUUAUUUUUUCUCUCUCUCUGUGCUCAGCCUGCUACAGCUGAAGCAGACAGAAUGGAGUUCUGCAUGCUUUCACAAAUGCCCAUCUACCUCAUGUUCCCAUUCCGUUGGUGCCAGCACCAUUGAUAUUUAGUGCCAGCCAUGGCAAUUUUUGACAUAUGUCCACUUGGAUCAAAAUUUGAACCUUUAAUAGCACUUCAAACAGAGAUUCAUGUGCCUUCAAUGGUGCCCUACUACAUCUAGUAGAGAAUGUCACAGGAUCUGGCAUUUUCUUCUAGGCCCAGCAAGCUCACUAAAAAUCUUGGCACACACAAUAUGGCUUCCUUGAGUCACAGUUGCUGCCAGAAUGUUCUUCACACCUUUCUUAUCAGGUACUGCAACUCCCUGAAUGCACCAGAUUUGAAAACAGCGUCUGUCAGAAGAUGAGGCUGCCAGACUCCCUAAGAUGUUGUAAUGAAGAAGAAAUUGGGUGGGCAGAAUGGAGAACAUAUCUUUCUUCCUCUGGAAACCUUGAAUCAAACCAUCCUCAGCCCUACAAACAAUGGCCUUUAAAAACAGUAUGUUUAAAUGGGCCCCUUAAGGAAUACAUUUCAGUAAUUAAGACAGGCUUGGGCCACUGCAACAUACACAUGGCAGUCCUAAAGACACACCGCAAGGAGGUAAGCCCAGCCAAAGACAAAAGUACUUAUUUCUGAGUAGACAUGCACAUGAGUGCACUGUUAUUUAAUGUAUUGAUUAUUACU